rnacentral:rRNA from 2 species
UAGCGCCUCGUGAAUUCAUCUCCGGGGGUAGAGCACUGUUUCGGCUAGGGGGCCAUCCCGGCUUACCAACCCGAUGCAAACUGCGAAUACCGGAGAAUGUUAUCACGGGAGACACACGGCGGGUGCUAACGUCCGUCGUGAAGAGGGAAACAACCCAGACCGCCAGCUAAGGUCCCAAAGUCAUGGUUAAGUGGGAAACGAUGUGGGAAGGCCCAGACAGCCAGGAUGUUGGCUUAGAAGCAGCCAUCAUUUAAAGAAAGCGUAAUAGCUCACUGGUCGAGUCGGCCUGCGCGGAAGAUGUAACGGGGCUAAACCAUGCACCGAAGCUGCGGCAGCGACACUGUGUGUUGUUGGGUA